UACGAAGGGGGCUAGCGUUGUUCGGAAUUACUGGGCGUAAAGGGCGCGUAGGCGGUGCCUCAAGUCAGGCGUGAAAGCCCCGGGCUCAACCUGGGAACCGCGCUUGAGACUGGAGUACUAGAGUUCGGGAGAGGAUGGUGGAAUUCCCAGUGUAGAGGUGAAAUUCGUAGAUAUUGGGAAGAACACCGGUGGCGAAGGCGGCAUCCUGGACCGGCAUUGACGCUGAGGAGCGAAAGCCAGGGGAGCAAACGGG
rnacentral:rRNA from 1 species